GACGAACGCUGGCGGCGUGCUUAACACAUGCAAGUCGAACGGAAAGGCCCUGCUUUUGUGGUGUGCUCGAGUGGCGAACGGGUGAGUAACACGUGAGUAACCUUCCCUUGACUUUGGGAUAACUUCAGGAAACUGGGGCUAAUACCGGAUAGGAGCUCCUGCUGCAUGGUGGGGGUUGGAAAGUUUCGGCGGUUGGGGAUGGACUCGCGGCUUAUCAGCUUGUUGGUGGGGUAGUGGCUUACCAAGGCUUUGACGGGUAGCCGGCCUGAGAGGGUGACCGGGGACAUUGGGACUGAGAGAGGGACCAGACUCCUACGGGAGGCAGCAGUGGGGAAUAUUGCACAAUGGGCGGAAGCCUGAGGAAGAAACGCCGCGUGCGGGAUGACGGCCUUCGGGUUGUAAACCGCUUUCGCCUGUGACGAAGCGUGAGUGACGGUAAUGGGUAAAGAAGCACCGGCUAACUACGUG
rnacentral:rRNA from 1 species